UGACAUCAGCUGGCAGUUAAGGUAACUUUAUUAAUACCCGAAGGUAGAUUUGGCUUACAGUGGGGAGUUGGGUGGGUCAGCGUCCUUUUUACAAACACACAUACACAUACAUACAUACAUACAUACACACAUUCAGCAGCAGACUGUAGGACAUAACGUAACAAAGGAGACAUCAUUGUUC